rnacentral:misc_RNA from 1 species
UGGAAAGGCUGCUCUGUGCAUGACCAAGAGAAAUAGAUCUAGGAAGUCGCUUGCCCGUACACAUGGUUUUCGCAGACGGAUGAGGACUACUGCCGGAAGAAAGGUCCUGAAGCGCAGACGCGCCAAAGGAAGAAGGGUUCUCUGCACAAAGACGAACUCCCCCACUGGGAAGAAACGAAUGUUCUGAUUGAAUCGCAUUCUAAGUCGCUCUUUGUCACAAUUGUAAGUGUAUUUUUUUAUCCCACGUUCUCGG